UACGAAGGGGGCUAGCGUUGCUCGGAUUUACUGGGCGUAAAGGGCGCGUAGGCGGUCAGCACAAGUCAGUUGUGAAAUCUCCGGGCUUAACUCGGAAAGGUCAACUGAUACUGUGCGACUAGAGUGCAGAAGGGGCAACUGGAAUUCUCGGUGUAGCGGUGAAAUGCGUAGAUAUCGAGAGGAACACCUGCGGCGAAGGCGGGUUGCUGGGCUGACACUGACGCUGAUGCGCGAAAGCGUGGGGAGCAAACAGG
rnacentral:rRNA from 1 species